GCAGCGCAAGGUGCAACCUCUACUCUGCGCCUCCUCACCUUCUGCAGCAUCCAUGGCUGGGUGCCGCAGCAUCCUCCCCACCUCGGUCACAGCCACCCAGCUGCAGUGGGACAUCUUUAAAGCUUCCUGAAAUCCACCUCGCAGCAAGAGGAACAGCAUAUUUCUGAGCAAAUUCCUCACACCUGAGCAGAGAAAACAGGGGAUGCGGGUGAUUUACCUUCCCCUUGCAUUUCAGGUACAGGUUACAGCCCAAGUGAAGAUUUUUAAAACUGCAGACACUCACAAGUGUUACAGAAGGCCUUUUCAGCAUCAAACCAAAGAAAUGCAGAAUGUAUCAUUUUAAGAGGGGUUGAGUCAUCCUCCUUCCCAAAAGCCAUGGCAAUUCUCCAGCAUGGUCUAGCCUUGUCUCUAUUCUGCAAAGGUAACAAAUAUUUGUAAGAAAAAAGUAUUUCUGUA
rnacentral:lncRNA from 1 species